GCCCGUGUGGCGGAAGGGUAGACGCUACAGACUUAAAAUCUGUUGUCCAUUAGGGCGUGGGGGUUCGAAUCCCUUCACGGGUACCA
rnacentral:tRNA from 1 species